GAUGAACGCUAGCGACAGGCCUAACACAUGCAAGUCGAGGGGCAGCACAUGAGUAGCAAUACGAUGGUGGCGACCGGCGCACGGGUGAGUAACACGUAUGCAACCUGCCUGUAAGAGGGGGAUAACCCGGAGAAAUUCGGACUAAUACCGCAUAAUACCACGAGACUGCAUGGUUUUGNGGUUAAACAUUUAUGGCUUACAGAUGGGCAUGCGUAUGAUUAGAUAGUUGGUAGGUAACGGCCUACCAAGUCUACGAUCAUUAGGGGUUCUGAGAGGAAGGUCCCCCANACUGGUACUGAGACACGGACCAGACUCCUACGGGAGGCAGCAGUGAGGAAUAUUGGUCAAUGGGCGAGAGCCUGAACCAGCCAAGUCGCGUGAAGGAACGAAGGUUCUAUGGAUUGUAAACUUCUUUUGCAGGGGAAUAAAGGACGGUACGUGUACUGUUUUGUAUGUACCUUGCGAAUAAGGAUCGGCUAAACUCCGUGCCAGCAGCCG
rnacentral:rRNA from 1 species